rnacentral:lncRNA from 1 species
UGCGCCGAUUUUGAAAUUUUUCAUUCUUUCAUUUGCGCCGAUUUCAUUUUUUCAUUUGCGCCGAUUUUAUAUUUUUUCCUAAUUGGAUUUACAGAUAAGUUACAGGUAAGUUCAUACUUUUACAUUGGCUGAGCACAGAGUAUAAAGACAAAUCAAGUGACAUUGCAAUUGGUAAAUGGCUAUCCCAAUGUUUCGGGUUACCAUUCCUUUCCCUAAAUGAAAUCGAUGACUGCUUCACGUUUGACAUUGUCUGACGCUUCGCUCCUUCUGAUGACAAAUGUC